rnacentral:misc_RNA from 1 species
GGCAACUUACGCUCGUCGAACCAUUCGGUUUGCGGAUAUUCAACCACCCGAAACAAAUCGUCCCUUUGUGACAUUCAAGGCUAAUGGGAGCUUCUACUUUGUAGACAAAGAGCAUUGUCAUAACAAGGCACUCUUAGCCAGACUGACUCCUCAGCAACAUGAAUCGGCUUUUAAAAACUUAUGAUUGUCUUAGAGAUUUUUCUUUUUCUUCUUCGCUGAGUUGAACGCCAAUGAGAUGGCU